UGGGACUAUGUAAUUGGGAGC
rnacentral:piRNA from 1 species